GACGAACGCUGGCGGCGUGCUUAACACAUGCAAGUCGAACGAAGUGGCGAACGGGUGAGUAACGCGUAAUAAACCUGCCAUUCAGAGGGGGACAACAGUUGGCAACGACUGCUAAUACCGCAUACUGAAGGAGGGGAUUGCGUCUGAUUAGCUAGUUGGCGGGGUAACGGCCCACCAAGGCGAUGAUCAGUAGCCGGUCUGAGAGGAUGAACGGCCAAAUUGGGACUGAGACACGGCCCAGACUCCUUCGGGAGGCAGCAGUGGGGAACCUGCCGCAAUGGACGAAAGUCUGACUGAGCAAGGCCGCGUGAGGUAUGACGGCCUUCGGGUUGUAAAGCUCUGUUAAUCGGGACGCGGUACCGGAAUAGAAAGCCACGGCUAACUACGUGCCAGCCGCCGCGGUAAUAC
rnacentral:rRNA from 1 species